GAACGCGAAGAACCUUACCAGGUCUUGACAUCCUCUGACAACCCUAGAGAUAGGGCUUCUCCUUCGGGAGCAGAGUGACAGGUGGUGCAUGGUUGUCGUCAGCUCGUGUCGUGAGAUGUUGGGUUAAGUCCCGCAACGAGCGCAACCCUUGAUCUUAGUUGCCAUCAUUAAGUUGGGCACUCUAAGGUGACUGCCGGUGACAAACCGGAGGAAGGUGGGGAUGACGUCAAAUCAUCAUGCCCCUUAUGACCUGGGCUACACACGUGCUACAAUGGACGGUACAAAGAGCUGCAAGACCGCGAGGUGGAGCUAAUCUCAUAAAACCGUUCUCAGUUCGGAUUGUAGGCUGCAACUCGCCUACAUGAAGCUGGAAUCGCUAGUAAUCGCGGAUCAGCAUGCCGCGGUGAAUACGUUCCCGGGUCUUGUACACACC
rnacentral:rRNA from 1 species